rnacentral:rRNA from 1 species
GCACGAAAGGUGUAACGAUCUGGGCACUGUCUCAACGAGAGACUCGGUGAAAUUAUAGUACCUGUGAAGAUGCAGGUUACCCGCGACAGGACGGAAAGACCCCGUGGAGCUUUACUGCAGCCUGAUAUUGAAUUUUGGUACAGCUUGUACAGGAUAGGUAGGAGCCUUGGAAGCCGGAGCGCCAGCUUCGGUGGAGGCAUUGGUGGGAUACUACCCUGGCUGUAUUGACAUUCUAACCCGCACCCCUUAUCGGGGUGGGAGACAGUGUCAGGUGGGCAGUUUGACUGGGGCGGUCGCCUCCUAAAAAGUAACGGAGGCGCCCAAAGGUUCCCUCAGAAUGGUUGGAAAUCAUUCGUAGAGUGUAAAGGCACAAGGGAGCUUGACUGCGAGACCUACAAGUCGAGCAGGGACGAAAGUCGGGCUUAGUGAUCCGGUGGUUCCGCAUGGAAGGGCCAUCGCUCAACGGAUAAAAGCUACCCCGGGGAUAACAGGCUUAUCUCCCCCAAGAGUCCACAUCGACGGGGAGGUUUGGCACCUCGAUGUCGGCUCAUCGCAUCCUGGGGCUGUAGUCGGUCCCAAGGGUUGGGCUGUUCGCCCAUUAAAGCGGUACGCGAGCUGGGUUCAGAACGUCGUGAGACAGUUCGGUCCCUAUCCGUCGUGGGCGUAGGAAAUUUGAGAGGAGCUGUCCUUAGUACGAGAGGACCGGGAUGGACGCACCGCUGGUGUACCAGUUGUCUUGCCAAAGGCAUCGCUGGGUAGCUAUGUGCGGAAGGGAUAAGUGCUGAAAGCAUCUAAGCAUGAAGCCCCCCUCAAGAUGAGAUUUCCCAUAGCGUAAGCUAGUAAGAUCCCUGAAAGAUGAUCAGGUUGAUAGGUCAGAGGUGGAAGCGUGGCGACAUGUGGAGCUGACUGAUACUAAUAGAUCGAGGACUUAACUAAAA